UGUCAUGUUGUGUCCAUAGGCGCGCUCCUACUUGUGGGACGCCCGCCAUUGCAAUCGCGAAUAAAUUCUGCUUUUAUCAGAGGUACCGUCCUGACAAAAUUACUUGGAUUAUUUCCAACAAUUUGGGGGCUCGUCCGGGAUUAUGAUCGCCUCUUUGAGAGUUUCCCUACUGCCCUGCACAGGAUAGGUGCACCCCGCUGAUUUCAGCGGUCCUGUCUGGGUGCUGAGGUGACUCCUUGGUACGGCCGAUAAAAAACCGAGACUGUUUCAUAGAGGACGGACUCUGUAAAAGCCAAGGGGCAGGUAGGCACGGGUGUUGGCCAUUGCGACCCGGUAACUUCGUGCACGGACCAAGGUAAGGGGAUUUAACUCUUUCCUUGGGGGUCGGUUGAGACUCUUUGAGUGUGUGUGACUGAGACGCGCCGUCAGCGCGAAGCGAGUGCUGAGUCCCGCCCUGCGGUUCCGCUGUGCCGCGAGGGGCGCGGCCAGGGACGGACGAAGCGGCUGUGUUGGUGAAAGGAAGAGUCUCGGGAGGGAGCUGUUGGUGUGCGGUACCCUGUGCACUUGACGAAGUGCCAGCAGUACACCCCUAUUAAUCCGAGAUAGGAGUAUAGUACUCCUGAGGGAUUGGGCCCAAAAUCCGAGAAUCAGAGUGUGGUAACCUGUGAGCUGGGGAGUUCACAGUAGCAUUCUGGAGGGAUGGGUAAUAGGAGUUCCCGAGAGCAGGGGAAAAAGGUCCCCGGAAUGGUGCCUAGAGAGAGCCAGCCCCUUGGGAGAAGUGUUUCAAAAUUGGAAAAUAAUCCCAAAACUAGGAAAAGAACAGGGAAAAGAUGUUUAAAUACUGUAUACAGUAGGGAGCCACUACAGGGAAAAUCAUUAUUUUGACCAAAAUAGGAGUCUGAAGAAAAUUGGGCCUAUUUAUAUGUAAACAGUAAGACUCCUUUUUCUGAAACAGAAUUGGCUUAGGUCGCUUAAUGAGUGCAAGAAGAAAAGAAAUGUUCCUCGCGAGGAGUCCAAGUUCAAAGGAAAUGGGAAAGAAGCAGAAAGAUCAUAAAUGGGAUCCCUUAGAUAACUUCCCCCCCCUUUAAUUUCUAAAGCAGUGCAAUUUUUAAAGCGGCGGUGACCUCUCCAGAGGAGGAAAGUGGGUGCUGCUGAUCUGUGCAGGGUCCUGGAGAGAGGAUGCGCUCUCAAUUACUGAGGGAGUUGGAGUCAUGCGAAUGGGACCUGGAUAGUUUUCCUUUCUCUAAUACUAACCUUACUAAUACUUCACUUUGUCCUCUUAAGGCAGUCUUAGGUCAAAGGGAAAAAAGGUGCGGUAAUGCCUGCUGUUUUUACUAGAAGUUAGGAGUUGCAAGAAAAAUUCCUUAACUGAGGAUCCUAUAAGUGUAGCAGAACAAUUAGAUCAAUUUCUAGGGCCUAAUUUGUACUCAUGGAUGGAAAUGAUAUUUAUCAUUGAUAUGUUGUUUAUUGGAGAAGGAGGUUGGCAGCUAUGCAAGUGUGAGAAAUGAAUACAGAGGGAAGGUUGAGCUCUGGAGGAAGGCAGAGAGAGAGGAAGGAUCCUGAGGAUAAAUUGUACUGAUUAUUGUCACUGUCUGUGUGAUUGUUAAGUGUUUAUGUCCUGAAGGUGUUGUGUUAUGUUAUGUUGUGUACGAGGCUGUUAUGGAACAAGGGGUGUCUAAAGUGAUAUGAGAAGACCCCCUGGGUUGUAUUUUGGCUCACUGGAGAAACAUUGUUGGUGAGCCAGGGGGAAUAUUGAAUGAGAAACCAGGAACGUAAAUGGAGUAAUGGGACCAGUUGUAUAAUUGAGUGCCCUAAUCAUGAGACCAAGUGCUGGCUGUUUGUGGAAGUUGAGGAAUUGUGUUGUUUGAUUUGUGGAUUUUGAAGGCACUAGGAGAAACUGUCUUAAUGGUAUGUGGAAAUUAUGUGGAAAUGCAGCUUUUAAUGGUAUGUGGAAAUGCAGCUUUUAAUGGUAUGUGGAAAUGCAGUUUUAAUGGUAUGUGGAAAUGCAGUUUUAAUGGUAUAUGAAAAUGCAGAAAUGCAAUUUUAAUGCUAUGUGGAAAUUGUGUGGAAAUGCAGUUUUUAAUGGGAUGUGGAAAUUGUGUGGAAAUGCAACUUUUAAUGGUAUGUGGAAAUUGUGUGGAAGUGCAAUUUUAAUGGUAUGUAGAAAUGCAGUUGUUAACGGUAUAUGGAAAUUAUGUGGAAAUGCAGUUUUUAAUGGUAUGUGGAAAUGCAAUUGUUAAUGGUAUGUGGAAUUGCAGUUGAGGGUACAAAUAGUGGAAUUGUGGAAAAACAAACAAACAAACAAACAAAAAAAAGAAUGGCAAAAAGGUGAAGGAAAACAGUGAGUUUGGGAUAUUGGAGUUGGGCCGGCACGAGAACACAGCCCCGCACACCCCCCCACUGCGGCCUGUAAGAACAGCUUGGAGUGGGAGAAAGAGCUGGGGGCCGGAGCCUCCCGCUGUGAUGUGAAGGGGUGCAGUGCUUGUGAAUGGGGAUGGGACGGACAUUGGAAGUGAGAAUAGCCGGCAUCUGCAGAGCUGGGGAAACCCGGUAUCAGUGUGAGCACUGGAAGCCUGGGGAGAGAAGGGAGUGAAACUGAAAUACGAUGUUAGUAAUGGCUGUGAUGAUGAGAGUUUGGGAAGUGAAAAGGGCUUGGGAAAAACAAACUGAGGAAGGCAAAGUUGAGCAAGGUUAACAGGGAUGUCCUUACCUAGAAGAAGAGGUAAGGGGAGCCUGGAAGGGCUCAGGGAGAGUUCCACCCUGCCAGGACCGAAAGCAGCAGGGGAAGCAGGCUGAAGAGGUUUAUUUUCUGGUACCUCUGGGUGCGUCUUACUGUUACCCGUAGGUGAUUUUUGUAAUAGUUGUAGCAGCUACUGGCAAGAGAAGUUUACUUUUUUUUGGACCAAUUAAAUACAGGCUAGGAGAACAAGUAGGAAUAUAUAAAUUCUUGUACAUGCCAGGUUUUCCAAAACCAUUAUUUGGGCAUGACAUGUUAGAAUAGUUGAAUGUAGAGAUUAAAUUCAGUAGAGACGAUUGGACCUACUUGUCAAGCAAGAGCAAUGGACUGAAAAUUUUAAGUCUGGCUUUAACACAAACUGGGAAAAGCAAUGUUGUACUCCCAGAAGUUACGUAAAUCCUACAUUGGGUAUACACAGGAUUGCAGGCAUCAGGGAUGCCUGGCAGAGCCAAAAAUGCAGCCCAAUGAAAGUUAAGUUAAAGGUGGGAGCCAGCCCAACCAGGGUAAAGCAAUGCCUUUUGAGGAUACGAGAUUGUAGGAGGGUAAAAGAAAUAAUAACUUUUUGGAUUUUGGAUUACUAAUUGGAUAGAAAUCCAAAUACAACACCCAAUCUUGCAAAUGAAAAAUUGGAUGGCAAGAGCUAUAGUUUGGUACAAGGUUUGAGGGCAAUUAAUAGAAAAGUUGAAUAUAUACAACACAUGGUGUAUAUCUUUAUUAACCAAGUUAAGGAAUAAGUAGGUGGGUUUUACCGUUCUGGACUUGAAGUACACCUUUUUCUGCCUGGUUUUGCAAAAGAAAGUCUAAAAUUAUUUGCCUUUGAAUAGAAAAACUCAAAUAUGGAGAGAAUAAUAAUAAUUCAGUUAACCUGCACAGUGUUACCCAGGGUUGUGAGAACAGCCCAAUGAUUUUUGAGAACUGGUCAACUCGUGAGCCUGAGAUUUGGGUUCACCAUCUCACAGUGGAACUUUACUGCAGUACGUGGAUGCUGCAGUAACGAAGGACUGUGUGCAAUGGACUGUGAGCUUGCUGAAUUUCUUGAUUUAAAUGGCUAUCAAGUUUCUCAACAGAAAGAACAACUGAUCAAAGAGAAGGAAGCAGCUUGCUGAACACCCAGAACGCCAAUGCAGAGCUGCCUCCAAGCCAGCAGUGUGCGACUGCAUGGAGGCUGUCUGUGCCAGCUGUCAGAGCUACAGGAGGAACCGUUGGACGAUGCUGAGGAGUCCUGGAUUCAUCGACGGAAGCAGUUUUGUGAAGACAAGGAAACCGGAAGGCAGGACAUGCAGUAACUGCUACUGACAAGGUAAUUGAAGCACAACCAUUACCUGUGGGGACUUCCACUCAGAAGGCUGAAAUAAUUGCCUUGACAAGAACCUUAAAUAUAUGGAUGGAUGCUAAAUAUGCUUUUGGGGUGGUACCCACUCGUGGUACCAUCUGGAAAGAGCAAGGAUUGUUUACACACAAGGAAAACAAAUUCAGCAUGAUGUAAAUCUACCAAAGAACAUCAUGGCUGUUAUACAUUGUAAAGGACAUCAGAAGAGUGACACUGUACAGGAAACUGGAAAUAUGAUGAUGAAUCAGGUGGCACAACAGGCAGCUGAAGGAAAAGAAAUUGGUGAACGGCUUUAAUUCCAGACGGUACAUUUGAAAUACCUGAACCUUAGUCAGAACCUAUAAGGUACUCUAGAAAGGAUAGGAAUCUAAUGAAUGAAGGGAAGAGAGCAAGCUGACAGAUGGGUGCAUACCCAGAUGGACACACUGUUGUGCCCAUUAGUAUUUUAUAGAAUUUGGUUCUAAGGGAACAUAAUAAAACAUGGGGGGGUUCAGACACCAGAAAGUAACUGUACAAUCCUAGUACCAGGAACAGGGUACAAGUGGCGCUUGUUGGAAAGGGAACCUUCCAGGACAACAAUUGCAAAUUGAUUUUUUUUUAACUGCCAGGAAAAAUGAGGGUUUUGAGAUAUGCUAGUUCUAACCAAUACCCUUUCAGGGUGACCAGAAGCAUUCCCUUGCAGGACCAAUAGAGCCAAGAAAGUAACCAAGGUACUUUUGCAGGAGAUUAUUCCAAGGUUUGGGUGUCCUGCAACAAUACCCUUCAACCAGGGAACUCAUUUUAUUGCAGAGAUUGUCCCAGAGGUCAGCAAGCAUUGGGAAUAAAUUGGCAAUUGCACACAGCACACAGACCACAGGCGAGUGGUCAGGGGGAAAAGAUGAACUGUCUAAUUAAAUCACAGGGUGUAAAACUGGGCCAGGAAGCUGGACUAUCCUGAUCACAGUUGUUGCCUCUGGCUCUCCUUAGCACCAGAACAAAACCUAGAGCCAAAGAGGGGUUAAGUCCUUUCAAAAUACUGUACAGAAGGCCUUAUGUUGUACAAAAGGGGAUUUCUACCCAAGUAGGGAGCGAAAUACUAACUGAGCAUGUGAUAAGUCUGCAGGAAUAGCUUUGAGAAAAGGAGAAACUGGUUCUAGGAACUAGAGCUCAAGGCCUUGAUAUGGCUCGAUAAUAUGUAUGUAACAAAUCUCUUUAAGAUUCGCCCCUGGAACCAAGGUGGGUAGGUCUGUUCCAGGCGCUGCUAACAUCCCACACAACAGUGAAAGCAUUGUGGAUACAUCAUACUAGAGGUAAGAAGGUCCCUCAAACAGAAUGAGAACUGAAAUCAGCUGGACCCUUAAAAUUGUGAAUCUAAGGACAGAAAUGUGGGCUCUUGUAACUGUUAGAAAUGUUGAUUUGAUGAGUGCAGCAUUUGAUGUAAAUACUUAUGUAUCUCUUGUGACAAACAUUAUUACAUAUCAAUAUUGUUUGGUAUGUGGGCAAGCUAAGGAUUUAAACUUUUUUUUCUUCUUGUUGUUCCUGAUGACUUUAAGGCAAGAAAUCAAACUGUUGCAGGGUUUGAGUCACUGUCCUGGUGGGUGAUGAUCAACAAGAAUGUAGAUUGGGUUAACUACAUCUGUUAUAAUCAAUGGAGAUUUACAAAUUAUACAAAGAGUGCAAUAAAGAGAAUUGCAGGACAGUUAUAUGCCACAAGUAGGGUGGCCUGAGAAAAUAGGAUCUGCUAAGAUAUGAUAAAGGAAUGUAUAUGUAACACUGGGUACCCGUUGUUGCACCUUCAUCCCAAUAACACAGCUCUGGAUGACAUAAUAAUGAAGGCAUUGCAAGGGCUUGGUGCCACCCUUGGCAAUGAAGUGGUAGAAAAAAAAAAAUCAGGAAUAGAUACUUCUGUCACUGGAUGGUUGGAGUUCUGGUUUGGUAAAUGGAAAGGGGUGACUGUAUCCACAUUUACUUCGUUGACAGUAGCAGCAGCAGCCUUGAUGGCCACUGGUUGCUGUGUUAUCCCCUUUGUGAGGGGACUAGUAGAGUGAUUGAUAGAGAGAGCACUACUGAAGCAAGCACUAAUGGAGCCAUUACAUUUGGAUAAAAUUGUGGUAUUAGAGGAGAUGGGAGAUAAAGAAAGUGAAGAUGAGGGCGAUGUCUAUAAAAGUGAACCUUAAAGAAUUGCAGAAAUCAACAAUGUAUAAAAAAAGAAAAAGGGGGGAAUUGUGGGAAUCAAGUGUUGUUUCUGCAUUAGAAUUGUAUAAUAUUAUUUUUAUUUUAUGAUCUCUGCUAUCAUAGUUCCCAGGAACACACUGUAUAUAGGUGUAUAUAUGUACAUUUUGUCAUACACACUGCAAGAAUAUCCUGCACGAGAGCAAACCAGAGAACAAGCCAUGGCAGCCCGAGGAAGCGCCUGACAUUGGGAAGGCCUGCAUCAUCCCCAGUGCUCUUUGUUUAACGAUGAUGACUUUAAAGAAAAUCACCAUAUCAAUAGGACAAGGAGAGCACCGAGACAUCUUGGAGACAACAGGAUGACUGCUGACUGGCACCAGAUAACAAGUAAAUAACAAAUGUAAACCUUCUGAUAAGAUUGUGAACCUGGAGUACCCAGCCAUUGGGGAAACAGGGGAGGGGGAAGGCAAGGGGGAGAAAACAGGGUAUAAAGGCUGUCAUGUUGUGUCCAUAGGAGCGCUCCUACUUGUGGGACGCCCGCCAUUGCAAUCGCGAAUAAAUUCUGCUUUUAUCAGAGAUACCGUCCUGACAAAAUUACUUGGAUUAUUUCCAACACUAUGGUUCAGCCACAGGAGCACAGGUGAGGGCAGUUCAGCUGUGCUAUUGGAAGGGGUGGAGCCUGGCUGCUCCUCUCCUAGAUCCCAGUUAAGUGCUGACUGCCCCUGAGGAAGGAUCUCUUUCUGGAGAUCGCUCCUUGUGGAGUUUGCUGUCAGCCUGUGACACCGGGGUGACUUCUCCAUCUGCUCAUGGUUCUCUUGCCUCAGUAAUUUCUCCCAUUUGGCCUUAUGUCCGUGAUCUGCAGUGACUCUUCUAGAGCAGAUCUGCUGUUAUGUAAAGGACGCCACAGGUUUCACAGAAAUUAGGCUGAUUCAUGAGCUCAACCCUCAUAAGACACCCAGGAGCACCAUGGUACACACCAUGACUGCAGGAAAAGCUCUGGCCACAGUCAU